UUAGUGGCGAACGGGUGAGUAACACGUGGGCAAUCUGCCCUGCACUCUGGGACAAGCCCUGGAAACGGGGUCUAAUACCGGAUACGACACACGACCGCAUGGUCUGUGUGUGGAAAGCUCCGGCGGUGCAGGAUGAGCCCGCGGCCUAUCAGCUUGUUGGUGGGGUAAUGGCCUACCAAGGCGACGACGGGUAGCCGGCCUGAGAGGGCGACCGGCCACACUGGGACUGAGACACGGCCCAGACUCCUACGGGAGGCAGCAGUGGGGAAUAUUGCACAAUGGGCGCAAGCCUGAUGCAGCGACGCCGCGUGAGGGAUGACGGCCUUCGGGUUGUAAACCUCUUUCAGCAGGGAAGAAGCGCAAGUGACGGUACCUGCAGAAGAAGCGCCGGCUAACUACGUGCCAGCAGCCGCGGUAAUACGUAGGGCGCAAGCGUUGUCCGGAAUUAUUGGGCGUAAAGAGCUCGUAGGCGGCCUGUCACGUCGGAUGUGAAAGCCCGGGGCUUAACCCCGGGUCUGCAUUCGAUACGGGCAGGCUAGAGUUCGGUAGGGGAGAUCGGAAUUCCUGGUGUAGCGGUGAAAUGCGCAGAUAUCAGGAGGAACACCGGUGGCGAAGGCGGAUCUCUGGGCCGAUACUGACGCUGAGGAGCGAAAGCGUGGGGAGCGAACAGGAUUAGAUACCCUGGUAGUCCACGCCGUAAA
rnacentral:rRNA from 1 species